UAGAGUGGGCAAAGGAAUCCUUACAACAUCAAACUGAAACCAUGACAAACCAGCACUCUGAGUCACUCUCCACUGUUAAGAAACAGUUUCAGGUCAAAUUACAGCACACAGAGGAGGAGAAGG